CUCUCCCGCGGGUGGAUGGAGAGUGGCUCAGGGCACCAGCCAGACGCAGGAAAGGCCAGCGUAGAACUCCAGCAUCGCCCAGUGAGAAAGUCUGGAGAGAGGAGUACAUGUGAGCAUACGUGUAAAUAUUUUAAUUUUUUGCCUUCUCAAAUUUAUGAAAUGCUUGAAAACACAUCCAAGUUUUGUUUUUUGUUGGGAACGUCUUUGUUUUGAAUUCUGUACGGUGAUGGGAGGGGAUUAUAAUCUUUCCAGUUCUGAGAUCCUCAGCUUAAGGCAGGCCCAGGGGAGGGGUCCGCGGUGGGUGCCGGGGGCUGAUUUCCAACUCCCCGCAGCAGCAGCAGCCACAAUCCCAGCACCUGAGGAUGAAGGCCUGCGUGGGAGCUCCGGUCCCGCUGCCACGGCCGCCCAGGAUGAGAACUUGUAUGCUGUCAUGAAAGACACACAGGCUGAAGAGGACAGACAGCUGGACAGCCAGGUGGGCUCCCUGUGGUCCUGACCAGGGCACCCCUGCCUCUCUAUGUGAUAAAUCCAGCAGACACUCCACCCGGCAGCCCGCAGCCUCUCUC
rnacentral:lncRNA from 1 species